ACGAAUAAUGCCUUGUUUAUUAGCAUAUCGUCUUUCUCUUUCAGGCACGUAUUAAAUUUCCGAUUGACUACCUAUAUUCACCACCUACCUUCAGAUUCUUGACCAAAAUGUGGCACCCCAACAUCUAUGAUAAUGGAGAUGUAUGCAUUUCAAUCCUUCAUCUGCCUGUAGAUGACCCACAGAGUGGAGAGCUGCCCUCUGAAAGGUGGAAUCCUCCUCAGAAUGUGAGCCAAUGUGGAUGCUUCAGUCAUGUUCAGGAAAUGGAGGGACAGCAAAGGAAAGGACAAGGAGUACGCUGAGAUCAUUAGGUAAGGCAGAUCAAUCGUGUGCAUUCUGGAUCUAAGGGGUUAAGUUCAAACUUCAAUAUUCUGUGUACUUUAGAACAAUUCUCAGUUGAAUUUAUGGAGUAGUAACCUGAUGAAUUUAGGUAUUGAAAGAGAACCCAAAACAGAAACACAACACAGUAAAAAAAAAAAUUGUUGUGCCCACCUCAGCCGGCAAGGAAGGUGCAACACAGUCGUAUUUUUCUCAACAGCCUUUAUUGUAGG
rnacentral:lncRNA from 1 species